rnacentral:rRNA from 1 species
CACGUAGGGGGCAAGCGUUGUCCGGAUUUAUUGGGCGUAAAGAGCUCGUAGGCGGUUCGGUAAGUCGGGUGUGAAACCUCCAGGCUCAACCUGGAGUCGCCACUCGAUACUGCUGUGACUAGAGUCCGGUAGGGGAGCGUGGAAUUCCUGGUGUAGCGGUGAAAUGCACAGAUAUCAGGAGGAACACCAGCGGCGAAGGCGGCGCUCUGGGCCGGAACUGACGCUGAGGAGCGAAAGCGUGGGGAGCGAACAGG